rnacentral:lncRNA from 1 species
UCCUCUCAUAUCCCCCAUUCCGUGGGGUGUGACUGCCAAUAACACAAGAACCCCCCUCUUAGGCCAGCAGCAGCGAGUUUUCUGGUCAUUAGCGAGACAACCUGCUGCCUGUGCAGACUGGUAAAGUCCAAUCAAUGCCGAAUCAACGAAUCAAAGAAGAGAAGGGGAAUGAUGACACCAAC